GCGGCGUGCUAAUACAUGCAAGUCGAACGCUUUGUCUUUAAUUGAUAUGAAGAGCUUGCUCUGAUUUGAUUUUAUCUGACAAAGAGUGGCGAACGGGUGAGUAACACGUGGGUAACCUACCUCUUAGCAGGGGAUAACAUUUGGAAACAAGUGCUAAUACCGUAUAACACUAACAACCGCAUGGUUGUUAGUUGAAAGAUGGUUCUGCUAUCACUAAGAGAUGGACCCGCGGUGCAUUAGCUAGUUGGUAAGGUAAUGGCUUACCAAGGCGAUGAUGCGUAGCCGAGUUGAGAGACUGAUCGGCCACAAUGGGACUGAGACACGGCCCAUACUCCUACGGGAGGCAGCAGUAGGGAAUCUUCCACAAUGGGCGCAAGCCUGAUGGAGCAACGCCGCGUGUGUGAUGAAGGGUUUCGGCUCGUAAAACACUGUUAUAAGAGAAGAACGACAUUGAGAGUAACUGUUCAGUGUGUGACGGUAUCUUAUCAGAAAGGAACGGCUAAAUACGUGCCAGCAGCCGCGGUAAUACGUAUGUUCCAAGCGUUAUCCGGAUUUAUUGGGCGUAAAGCGAGCGCAGACGGUUAUUUAAGUCUGAAGUGAAAGCCCUCAGCUCAACUGAGGAAGGGCUUUGGAAACUGGAUAACUUGAGUGCAGUAGAGGAAAGUGGAACUCCAUGUGUAGCGGUGAAAUGCGUAGAUAUAUGGAAGAACACCGGUGGCGAAAGCGGCUUUCUGGACUGUAACUGACGUUGAGGCUCGAAAGUGUGGGUAGCAAACAGGAUUAGAUACCCUGGUAGUCCACACCGUAAACGAUGAGUGCUAGAUGUUCGAGGGUUUCCGCCCUUGAGUGUCGCAGCUAACGCAUUAAGCACUCCG
rnacentral:rRNA from 1 species